GGCGAUCACCACGGGAGUCCGGUGUGCGCCGGGCUGAGAGGAGGGCUCGCAGCCCUCGACCGUCGAACCUGAUCCGGGUCAUGCCGGCGCAGGGAGGAGGAGACGUGUUACU
rnacentral:ncRNA from 2 species